AGUCUGAUAGUGUAGAAUAGAUGUGCAGUCUGAUAGUGUGGGAUAGAUGUGCAGUCUGAUAGUGUGGAUUAGAUGUGCAGUCUGAUAGUGUGGGUUUGGUGUGCAGUCGGAUAGUGUGGAUUAAAUGUGCAGUCUGAUAGUGUGGGUUAGGUGUGCAGUCUGAUAGUGUGGGUUUGGUGUGCAGUCUGAUAGUGUGGAUUAGAUGUGCAGUCUGAUAGUGUGGGUUAGAUGUGCAGUCUGAUAGUGUGGAUUAGAUGUGCAGUCUGAUAGUGUGGGUUAGAUGUGCAGUCUGAUAGUGUGGAUUAGAUGUGCUGUCUGAUAGUGUGGAUUAGAUGUGCUGUCUGAUAGUGUGGAUUAGAUGUGCAGUCUGAUAGUGUGGGUUAGAUGUGCUGUCUGAUAGUGUGGAUUAGAUGUGCUGUCUGAUAGUGUGGGUUAGGUGUGCAGUCUGAUAGUGUGGGUUAGAUGUGCAGUCUGAUAGUGUGGAUUAGAUGUGCAGUCUGAUAGUGUGGGUUAGAUGUGCAGUCUGAUAGUGUGGGUUAGGUGUGCAGUCUGAUAGUGUGGAUUAGAUGUUGAGUCGGAUGGUGUGGGUUAGGUUUGCAGUCUGAUAGUGUGGAUUAGAUGUGCAGUCUGAUAGUGUGGGUUAGAUGUGCAGUCUGAUAGUGUGGAUUAGAUGUGCAGUCUGAUAGCGUGGAUUAGAUGUGCAGUCUGAUAGUGUGGAUUAGAUGUGCAGUCUGAUAGUGUGGAUUAGAUGUGCAGUCUGAUAGCGUGGAUUAGAUGUGCAGUCUGAUAGUGUGGAUUAGAUGUGCAGUCUGAUAGUGUGGAUUAGAUGUGCAGUCUGAUAGUGUGGAUUAGAUGUGCAGUCUGAUAG